CAAUAGCGUAUAUUAAAGUUGUUGCAGUUAAAAAGCUCGUAGUUGGACUUCUGCGGGUGGCGGCCGGUCGUGCUCGAAACGGGCGUGAACUUGGCGUGCUGCCCGCAUCUUUGGGGAGAUUGUGCGUGGCAUUAAGUUGUCGUGCAUGGGAUUCUCAUCAUUUACUGUGAAAAAAUUAGAGUGUUUAAAGCAGGCCUUUGCCUUGAAUACAUUAGCAUGGAAUAAUAAGAUAGGACCGUUGUCUAUUUUGUUGGUUUACAGAUGUCGGUAAUGAUUAAUAGGGAUAGUUGGGGGUAUUCGUAUUCAGUUGUCAGAGGUGAAAUUCUUGGAUUUUCGGAAGACGCACGACUGCGAAAGCAUUUACCAAGGAUGGUUUCAUUAA
rnacentral:rRNA from 1 species